AAUCUAAAGGUAUGAUUUCGGCUCAUCUCCUGUUUUGGGAAGUAUAAUUGAUUUUAGGGUUUCUUGUGACCUUGUUGAGUUGAUUGGAUGGCCAAAUAGUCCCUUGCUAGUGAUGAGACUUCGGAUCUGGAUCCAUAGAGGUCCAGAGGGCCUCAUUCAUCAAGCUUUAUAGAGAACAAUGGAAGUUAUGACCUUGUGUAGUGAGAUUUGUUGAUAAUUCUUCAUAAUUGGUCAUAUAGAGGUUGUUUAUGCACCAAGUCUGGGGCUUUACGUGGUGAAUCAAUCUAGGAAGGCCAGAUCUAUGAAUUGUUGGAGUAGAUCUGACCUUAGAAGCAAGUUUGAGUGAUUGCAUGGCAUGGACUCGCCGAGUCCGAUGAGCAGACUCGGCGAGUAGCUUGAAGAUUGCCUUGGACCGGCCAGUGAGUGGUCCAGUCGAGUCAUGGGUUGACUCAGUGAGUCAGGGCGAGUUAGAGAGGGUUGUCAAGUGGACUGAGUCGAGCUGGGACUCGCCGAGUCGUUCUUGAGACUCGGCGAGUUGAGUCGGGGUGGCCCCGCGAUUUCUGCCAGGUGAAACUCGUCGAGUCAGGGGGGAGUACUCGACGUGUAGAAAGGGAAUCCUAGAGAGUUGGUGAGAACGUCUAGACUCGCCGAGUUGCCGUGUGCACUCGCCGAGUCCGGUCAAAGUUGACCGUUGACCGUUGACCUGUGUUGACUUCUUAGGGAUAGUCAACCUUAGAGAUAAAAAGUGUUAAUUAGAGUCAUGUGAUGUUAUAGGAGGAUUAGAGCUCGGAGGAUCGAGCACGAGGGAUUUCCAGGGAUCGUGAGAUACCGAGACACGCGAGGUGAGUCUUCUCACUAUACUUUACCUUGAGUAGGUAAUCAGAGUUAUGUGUUAGUGUAUGUAUGUUAUGUGUAUGCUAUGUGUUGUACUGCAUUAUUUCUAUGUGAUUUAUGCUGUGCAUGAUUACAGAGUUGGAACCGGAAGGUUCCUAGAGUUAGAACCUGAGGGUUCACAGAGUUGGGUGCACGGACCCAUAGAGUUAUAGCCUCGAGUGGCUAAUAUGUGUUUUAUGUGUGGUAUUUUGGGGAACUCACUAAGCUUCGUGCUUACAGUGUUAGUGUUGUUGUUUCAGGUACUAGCGAUGACCGUGGGAAGGCGCCGGCUUGAUCUGUACACACGCAGGGGACUUUUGAUAUAUUUAUGUGAUCUUGGGAUUUGUAUGAUACAGAUUGGAAUUUGAAACUUAAUGUUUUUAUGAAAUUAAAUGAGAAAUGUUUUUAUAUUACAAAAAAUUAUUUUGAAAAUUCACGGUGUUACAAGUUGGUAUCAGAGCCUUGGUUUGAGGGAUUCGAGUACACCUUCGGGCGUAUUUGAACUCAAACUGAGGAUUUGAGAUGUAUUUUCAAAAAGAGUAAAAGAUUUUUGAAAAACGCAGAGCAAGAGAUGUGUGUACGAUCAGUCAGCGCCCGAACGGUGAUUUCCCAAAAUACCUUUAUAUAUUAUGUGAUAUUGAUAUUGAUAUGAUGUAUCCGCAUGCUAGAGUAGGCUAGGUAUUGCUAUUAGGACUAGAGUGGCCUGAUUUGUGAUGCCUUAGCCUAGGGAGAGGUGAGCUGCUAUGAGAUGCUUGAGAGUGAGUAGGUAGCAGCGAGGGACUUAUGAGAGAUCUAUUAGAGAGUGGUCUAUGCAUGAUAGAGUACUUGAGACCUGGGAUCCAAAGAGGAGGACUUGGAGUGUAUUCUGGUGCGGUGCGGACAGUAGUAUUGGGCCCGUACUACUGGAAGCACCGGAGCGGUGUGCAGCCCAAGUCAGAAUCUUUGGAAUGCCAAGAAUCAAGGAGGAAAGAGUUGACGAGUGUGAGCAUACUCGUGUGGAUUCUAAUUUAUCGUAUGUUGUAUUUCAGAGGUAGAUCAUGGUGAGGACACGUUUGAUGCCCGAGAGCAGUGGUACCAGUGAGGAGGAGAUCCGCCGGAUCAUUCAGGAGGAGGUGGCUGCGGCCAUCAGGGCAGAGAUACCGGAGAUGUUUGGGUCUAUAAAGACCACAUUGAUUGAGACGUUUGAUGAGCGUUAUGCCGCUCUUUCUGAGGCUGCUGCUGCAGCGGCUACCGCAGCGAUUGCUGCUGCGAGGCCGCAGGGUGGGGAUGCGUUGCUGUUCCGUGAGUUCAGCAACACAAAACCACCAGAGUUUGAUGGUACUCAGGAUCCGGUGGCAGCUAUGAGGUGGAUAUCUGAUAUUGAGGGGUGUUUCUUCACUUGCUCGUCUCCUGAGCAUUUGAAGGUACGGUUCGCGCUGAACCAGCUUCGCUUGGGAGCGAAGGACUGGUGGAAGUUUGUGACAGCGCAUUAUUCGCCUGCUGAGCUUUCUGCGGUGACCUGGGAGAGGUUCACCACUAUGUUUCGGGAUGAGUACGUUCCCCAGGUGGAGAGGGAGCGUUUAGCACAGGAGUUUCUGACCCUCAAGCAGGGUACUGAGUCUGUUACAGCGAUCACGAGGAUGUUCCACGAGAGGGCGAUGUUCUGCCCUGAGCACGUGUCCACUGAGCAGGCACGUAUGAGCCGCUACUUGAGCAUCUUGAGGAGGGAUAUUCGGGAGUUCGCUGCGAACUCCUCGUACCGGACAUUUGCCGAGCUUCAGGCAAAUGCCCGGAAGAGGGAGAUUGAGCUUGAGACCCAGGCCAGGGAGGAGGCAGAGUCUCAGGGGAGGGAUCGGCGACCGGCGUUGUCGCAGCCGGCCGCCAAGCGGGCCAAGCCUGCUGAUCCCAGACCAGGGAGCCAGAAGGGCCGCACUUGCGGAAAGUGCGGCAAGGGUCAUGACGGAGUCUGCCGAGCAGGGUCUUGCUACAAAUGUGGUAAGGAGGGGCACAUGGCCAAGGACUGCCCCAAGGGGUUUGCAGUGUGCUUUCACUGCAACCAGACCGGACACCGGAAGGCCGAGUGUCCGCAGUUGCGCGGAGCAUCUCAGGGGUCUGCUCCUGCCGCCACCAGAGUUACAGAGAGUCGGCCUGUGAAGGCCGAGACGCCGAGAGCUCGAGGGAGAGCCUUCCAGCUGACUGCGGAGGAGGUCCGCGCUGCGCCCGAUGUUGUGGCUGGUAUGUUUCCUUUCGUGUAUUUAUUUUGACAUAUGAUGUUAUGCUUAUAUUAUGUUAUGUGUAGGUACUUUUCUUGUGAAUUCCGUACCUGCUUUAGUGUUAUUUGACUCGGGUGCGAGUCGGUCUUUUGUAUCUUUGGCCUUUAGCCAGCAUAUCAGUGCUAGUCGUGAGGCACUGAGUCGGCCUCUGAGAGUCUCCAUAGCUGAUGAUAGAGUGAUUUGUGCCACAGAGGUUUUCCGGGGAUGUGUGUUAGAGAUCUUCGGGAUUGAGUUUCCGAUUGAUCUGAUUCCUAUUGCGAUGGGUGAUGUUUGUGUCAUUGUGGGCAUGGACUGGUUGAGCCGAUUCGGCGCGAUUAUCGACUGUGAGCGUCAGCUGGUGACUAUACGAGACCCUAGUGGGGGAGUUCUUUCGGUGUACGGUGAGGGUACACGUUCGGGAUCAGCCUUUUGUUCGGCCGCCAGGGCGAGGCAGUGUCUACAGCAGGGCUGUAAGGGUUUUGUGGCGUAUGUGAUGGAUACGCGAGCGACUUCCGAGAGACCGAGUUCAGUUGGGGAGGUACCGGUGGUAUGUGAGUUUCCAGAUGUCUUUCCCGAGGAGCUGCCGGGAGUACCUCCUGUGAGGCAAGUAGAGUUUGGUAUUGAUUUGGUUCCGGGGGCUGCGCCUAUAGCUAAGGUGCCUUAUCGUCUUGCACCUCCAGAGAUGCAAGAGUUAUCCUCGCAGCUUCAGGAGUUGCUGGGGAAGGGAUUUAUUCGGCCGAGCAGCUCGCCGUGGGGAGCACCUAUUCUGUUUGUCAAGAAGAAGGAUGGUUCACACCGGAUGUGUAUUGAUUACCGGGAGUUGAACAAGCUGACGGUCAAGAACCGUUACCCGUUGCCGAGGAUCGACGAUUUAUUUGAUCAGUUGCAGGGAGCAUCUUGGUUUUCCAAGAUCGAUUUGAGGUCGGGAUAUCAUCAGGUGAGGGUGCGAGACGGGGACGUCCAGAAGACAGCUUUCAGGACGCGUUAUGGGCAUUAUGAGUUUGUGGUGAUGCCUUUUGGGCUCACCAAUGCCCCGGCGGUGUUCAUGGAUCUCAUGAACAGGGUAUGUAGGCCGAUGUUGGAUCGGUCGGUGAUUGUAUUUAUCGAUGAUAUUCUGGUGUAUUCGAGAUCUAGGGAGCAGCAUGAGGAACAUUUGAGGGAGGUCCUUGGGGUACUGAGAUCGGAGAAGCUUUAUGCAAAGUUCUCCAAGUGUGAUUUCUGGUUACGGGAGGUCCAGUUCCUAGGACAUCUCGUUAACCAGGAAGGGAUUCUGGUCGAUCCGGCCAAGGUUGAGGCGGUGAUGGGUUGGGAGGUGCCAAAGUCACCCUCUGAGAUCAGGAGCUUCCUUGGAUUAGCAGGGUAUUAUCGGAGAUUUAUCAAGGAUUUCUCCAAGAUCGCAGUGCCGCUCACCAGGUUGACCCGGAAGGGUGUUGCAUUCUCAUGGGGUCCCGAGCAGCAGACCUCCUUUGAGACACUUCGCCAGAGGUUGUGCGAAGCCCCGGUAUUAGCUCUCCCGGAAGGGAUGGAGGAUUUUGUAGUAUAUUGUGAUGCAUCGAUUUUGGGGUUGGGUGCGGUGUUGAUGCAGAGGGGUCAUGUGAUAGCAUAUGCAUCGAGGCAGCUGAAGCCUCAUGAGACGAGAUAUCCCACGCAUGAUCUAGAGUUGGGGGCAGUAGUGUUCGCCCUCAAGAUUUGGCGCCACUACUUAUAUGGGGUUCGAUGUACGAUAUACACGGACCAUAAGAGCUUGAAGUACUUGAUGGAUCAGCCCAAUCUAAACAUGCGUCAGAGGAGGUGGUUAGAUGUGGUCAAGGAUUAUGAUUGUGAGAUCCUGUACCACCCGGGCAAGGCCAACGUGGUGGCCGAUGCGUUGAGCCGCAGGGCGGAGAGCACUCCAUUGCGAGAUGUAUGUUUGAGAUUGACCAUGAUAGCUCCGGUAUUGGAUGCCAUUCGUGGGGCACAGGCCGAGGCUGUGCAGCCGGAGAUGCAGAAGAGGGAACGGGUCGUUGGUUUGGUUUCAGAAUUCGUUACGGAUGGGCGAGGGCUUAUGACUUUUCAGGGUCGGAUUUGGGUACCGUUCGUGGGUGGUACGCGCACUUCCUUGAUGGAGGAGGCUCAUCGGUCGAAAUUUUCGAUCCAUCCGGGGGCUACGAAGAUGUAUUUGGAUUUGAGGAGAGAGUAUUGGUGGCCCUGUAUGAAGAGGGACGUCGCAUGGUUCGUUGAGAGGUGCUUGACCUGUCGUAGGGUUAAGGCCGAGCACCAGAGACCACAUGGCAAGUUGCAGCCAUUGGAGGUUCCCGAAUGGAAAUGGGAACAGAUCACUAUGGAUUUCAUCACCAAAUUGCCGAGAACUGCCAGGGGAGUUGAUGCAAUUUGGGUGAUUGUGGAUAGGUUGACGAAGAGCGCUCACUUCCUUGCCAUCAGUGAGAGUUCUUCAGCAGAGAAGUUGGCAGAGUUAUAUGUGAGAGAAGUGGUAUCUCGGCAUGGGGUGCCGAUCUCGAUUGUUUCAGACCGUGAUGUGCGCUUUACUUCCAGAUUCUGGAAGAAAUUUCAUGAGGAGUUGGGUACUAGAUUGCAUUUUAGUACCGCAUAUCAUCCCCAGACAGACGGUCAGAGUGAGCGGACGAUUCAGACGCUUGAGGACAUGCUUCGAGCAUGUGUGUUGGAUUUUGGGGGUAGCUGGGAUGCGUAUCUACCCUUGGCAGAGUUUUCCUACAACAACAGCCAUCAUUCGAGCAUUGGUAUGCCACCCUUUGAGCUGUUGUAUGGUAGGAGGUGUCGGACCCCCAUUUGCUGGGGAGAGGUCGGGCAGAGAGUGAUGGGCAGUACCGAGAUCGUGCUUCAGACGACAGAGCAGAUUCAGCAGGUCAGACAGAGGUUGUUGACCGCCCAGAGUCGACAGAAGAGUUAUGCAGACAGACGCCGGUCCGAGCUUGAGUUUCAGGUCGGCGACUUCGUUCUCCUGAAGGUCUCUCCUUGGAAAGGAGUGAUUCGAUUCAGGAAGAGGGGCAAGUUGGGGCCCCGGUAUAUUGGGCCAUUUCGUGUGAUUGCGAGGGUAGGCCGGGUAGCCUAUCGUUUGGAAUUGCCAGCAGAGUUGGGGCAAAUCCACGACACUUUUCAUGUGUCGCAAUUGAGGAAAUGUAUUGCCGAUGAGUCGGCAGUAGUUCCAUUAGAGGAUAUUCAGGUGGAUGCGAGCCUGAAUUAUGCCGAGAGACCAGUAGCCAUCAGAGAUCGGAAGAUCAAGGUUCUGAGGAACAAGGAGGUACCUUUGGUGUUGGUUCAGUGGCAACACCGGAAGGGAUCAGAGAUGACCUGGGAGCCGGAGCGCGAGAUGCGGGCUCAGCAUCCGGAGCUAUUUUAGAGCGAGACUUCGAGGGCGAAGUCUAAUCCUAGUGGGGGAGAAUUGUAACAGCCCGGAUCUCCAGGUAUUUUAUUGUUUUAAUAUUUUGAGUUUUGAGAAGGGACUCGGCGAGUUGGAGCUCAGACUCGCCGAGUAGGGUCGCGAUUCUGGACGCGGGAUUCGUUCGGACUCGGCGAGUCCAGGAUAUGGACUCGGCGAGUCCACGCUGUUUAAUGAAACCCUAAUUUCUCGGGUUUGGGACCUAUUUAAAUGGCCUUAUGGCCGUCAUUUGCAUCCAUCAGUCCAUAGAGAGAAACCCUAAAAGUGCUUUAGCGAUUUGAGAGUGAAAGGAGGCAUUUCUUGACAUUUGUGUGUUGUUUAGCAAAGAAGAAGGAGGCUCUAGCCAAGAGGAGGCAAAGGGGACUGCUAUUUGGUGGAUUGGAAGCUUGACCCUUCAAUCUAAAGGUAUAAUUUCGACUCAUCUCCUGUUUUGUGAAGUAUAACCGAUUUUAGGGUUUCUUGUGGCCUUGUUGAGUUGAUUUGAUGGCCAAAUAGUCCCAUGCUAGUGAUGAGACUUCGGAUCUGGAUCCAUAGAGGUCCAGAGAGUCUCAUUCUUCAAGCUUUAUAGAGAACAAUGGAGGUCAUGACCUUGUGUAGUGAGAUUUGUUGAAGAUUCUUCAUAAUUAGUCAUAUAGAGGUUGUUAAUGCAUCAAGACUAGGACUUUACGUGAUGAAUCAGUCUAGGAGGGCCAGAUCUAUGAAUUGUUGGAGUAGAUCUGACCUUAGAAGCAAGUUUGAGUGAUUGCAUGGAAUGGACUCGCCGAGUCCGAUGAGCAGACUCGGCGAGUAGCUUGAAGAUUGCCUUGGACCGGCCAGUGAGUGGUCCAGACGAGUCAGGAGUUGACCCAGUGAGUCAGGGCGAGUUAGAGAGGAUUGUCAUGUGGUCUGAGUCGAGCUGGGACUCGCCGAGUCGUUCUUGAGACUCGGCGAGUUGAGUCGGGGUGGUCCCGCGAUUCUUCCAGGUGGAACUCGUCGAGUCAGGGGGAGUACUCGACGUGUAGAAAGGGAAUCCUAGAGAGUUGGUGAGAACGUCUAGACUCGCCGAGUUGCCGUGUGCACUCGCCGAGUCCGGUCAAAGCUGACCGUUGAGCGUUGACCGUUGACCUGUGUUGACUUCUUAGGGAUAGUCAACCUUAGAGAUAAAAAGUGUUAAUUAGAGUCAUGUGAUGUUAUAGGAGGAUUAGAGCUCGGAGGAUCGAGCACGAGGGAUUUCCAGGAUUCGUGAAAAACCGAGACACGCGAGGUGAGUCUUCUCACUAUACUUUACCUUGAGUAGGUAAUCAGAGUUAUGUGUUAGUGUAUGUAUGUUAUGUGUAUGCCAUGUGUUGUACUGCAUUAUUUCUAUGUGAUUUAUGCUGUGCAUGAUUUCAGAG
rnacentral:lncRNA from 1 species